CUUUUGUGAUGACUGAAUUAUCAGAGAUGAAAUAGCUGGAUGCAGUGAGAAAGCUUAUGAUUAUGUCUCUAUCAAUGAUGCUCGGCAGAUGUUGCUGUUCUCUUCUGAUCAAGAACUCUUAACCUAUGUCAACGAGGAGCACCCCGAGUGGGAAGUGAAGGACGGGUCUGUUGUCUUCCAGAAAGCCAAAGAAACUGCACCUUGCAAAGAGAUUCCAUCUCUGCAACUCAUCAACCAGACUCUAAGCUACGCCAGAGAGCUGGAGCGUAUCGUGUAAGAUCCGAUUUUUCUCAGUGUUCGUCUCUUCUCUUGCAUUAUGUUCCUGGAAAUCUCCAGGUCAUAAAACUUUGUUAUCAUGUAAUGACUGAUAUGGAGCGAAGUAUGUCUCAAAGAAGUGAUUUGGUUGAUUGGAUUUGGCAAAUGAGACUUUGUUACGACAUUAAUCUGUUCUUUCAUAGUCUUCCCAAGCCUCUUAUGUUA